UACACAUUACAAAAUCAACGCCAUGGUGGAAGAGGCGGAGUAACCCAUUCCUCCACCAGCUUCACUGCAAAAACCCACAAAAUUGGCGGCAGCUGCAAGCCGGAGCAAAGGGCUUUGGUGGGACAUCAUCAUCAUCAUCCUCAUCAUCUACAACCAAUAUACAAGAGCAGCCAAAAGAUAAACAAAAACCUGGCGGAAAAAGUUACAGGAAAACCGAAGACAACGAUGACAAAAUACCUGAUGCGGUUUGGGAGAGGAUGAUUUCAAGAAUCUUGUUCUAUGUGGGGGUACCGUUGAUUACGGGUUUUGCUUUGCUGCAAGUUUUGGGUGCAUUGAAAGAACAAAAAC
rnacentral:lncRNA from 1 species